GCCAGGCGUGGUGGCGCAUGCCUGUAAUCCCAGUGGCUCAGGAGGCUGAGACAGAAGGAUGGAGAGUUCAAAGCCAGCCUCAG
rnacentral:sRNA from 1 species